UUAUGUUAUCUCUGAUUUAUAUUUUGUUCUAAUGAGUUUUCAACAUGAGUAGGUACUAAAUAUGGACUUCAGCAGAAUUUUGCAAAAAAAAAAAGAAAAAGAAAAACAGUCAUAUGGAAUUCAUUUAGGAGUGCUUGGUUAUAAUUUGGGAAAUACUAAUAAAUGAUUCUUUGCUCAUAUUUGAUGGCAAACAGAUAUCUGGCAAUUUUGUUUUGUUUAUGUGGCUCUGUUAUGAAAAAACAACAGUAUUUGUGAGGAUAAAUUAGUGCAAGGAAUGUCUCUGAUUUAUAUUUUGUUCUAAUGAGUUUUCAACAUGGCUAGGUUCUAAAUAUGGAUUUCAGCAGAAUUUUGGAAAAAAAAAACAGUCGUAUGGAAUUCAUUUAGAAGGUGCUUGGUUAUAAUUUGGGAAAUACUAAUAAAUGAUUCUUUGCUCAUAUUUGAUGGCAAACAGAUAUCUGGCAAUUUUAUUUUGUUUAUGUGGCUCUAUUAGGAAAAAACAACAGUAUUUGUGAGGAGAUGUUUCAUGUGUGCUUCACGUAAGUGAUGCUAUCUGAAGGCUACUCUGGUGUCUAGCCUAAUGAAUAGGACCAACUAUCUAAUAUCACUUAGCAUAUUGUCCUAUAAUGAAAGCAUACAUCAAGCUUACCAGAGCUGAGGAUAUGUAGGUGGAAAGUAGUAAAAUAUAGGAACAGAAAAGCAUCCAAAUGCUGGCAAGAAUUGUAGGUAUAGAAAAUACAUGGCAUGACUAUCUGAGAUGGUUUGCAGACUGUCCAUAUAAAGGGGUGAGCCAAGAAAAUUUAGAAGUUGUCAACAAUGAAUUUGAGGAACCUUUCAGUGACAGAGCAUGGCUAUGUGUAGAAAUAUAUGUGAAAUUUUAUUUAUAAAGCUUAAAGUUAUGCUUGCCUCCAAAGUAAGCAUGGCUUAAAUUUCAUGAACACCAUGUGAAUCGUCAUUUGAUGCCAUUGGAUAUAUACUAAUCUGAUCUUAUACUCUAUCUUUUUCUGAAUAGCAUAUAGCUUUUUUUGGGUGGGGGGUUUACAUAUGCAAAUGUGUUAGAUAAUAUUGUUGUCAUGCAAGAAAGCUCAGUGGUCCUUGUUUUUAUCAGUUCAUGCACCUAAAUUGGAACUUGUUUUUAUUGGACCGCCUUUUCAAAAUAUUCUCCCCUUUGAUAAGCAUUCCUUUUCUGAAUGAGUGAACAAUGCACGUCUUAUAACUUAGCAGAAGUUUGCAAUGCAUUUUUGGCACAACUUCUCCGACAGGCCAUGUGAUCAUGUUAUUUCGUUAGUCCAUUUUAGGGUCUACAUCACACAUUUAGUUUAUUUAUUUUGAACAAGACCUAUCCACAAUCUUUUCUAUAUUUUGACCUUCUGUUUUGAUUUGGUGAUCCAUCUUUCUUUAUCAAAUACUUUUCUUGAUGCAAUUGGAGGGGAGGAAACGUUCCCCAGAUUUAUUAUUAAAUACUUUAAUGCUGUAAUUUCUGUUAUGAUGAAUUCAUGUAAAUGGGACCUUGUAAAUUCCCAUCUAUCACAAACCUCUCAUAUGUUUUCUCAGUCGUAAACCCCCGUUUUCGGACACUGGCAUGCAAGGAUGCACCACACAAAGGUGUGAUCUGGUAAGUUACUUUUUCUUGCUUGCUUUCUUUCUUUCAAUUAGACCGUGUUCAAAUACCACCUGCCUGCUAAAGUUGAAAGAUCUUAGUAGUUUCUUCCAGGCCAUGAAAGAAAAAACGAGCAAUCUUCUCUGGAGCCUAGGAAGGCCACCAACCCUCUGCAGGUGACUCGAGUAAUGGGAGGUAAAUCAUAUCAUAUUCCCACCACAUUUUUUUCAUGCUAUACCGAUAAAGUGAUCAUUUGCAUGAUGGGUAUAUCUCUAGAAGCUAAAUUGAUGAUGAGCUUGAUUUGGAGACAUCAUUUCUGUCGAUCAUUACGAUAAUAUAUUAUAGUAAUAGAAGUUUACAGAUACUGCUCCUCAAAUACUAUAUUGAUGUUAAUUACCUUAUAAUAAACUUUUUGAGAAGCUCCCCCUUGUAAUAUGCUGGUGAUAUUGUGAUGACAUUGAAUAUCUGGAUUUGUUUAUGUUUUAAAGAUAGUAUUUGUUGAAGCUUGACAUCAAGAGUCAUCAUCCUAACCUAUACCCAGCUAUAUUAUAUAAAAUAAAAAUAUAAAAAUAUAAAAGGUUCGGCUAUACGUCUAAAAACAUGUCGGUCUUGAUUGGCAACUGCAUUAGGUGGGCCUAGUUUGCUCUCUCUAGUCUUUGGUGCGUUCCUGUCUAUAAAG
rnacentral:lncRNA from 1 species